rnacentral:rRNA from 1 species
AUUGAACGCUGGCGGCAGGCUUAACACAUGCAAGUCGAGCGGGGGAAGGUAGCUUGCUACCGGACCUAGCGGCGGACGGGUGAGUAACGCUUAGGAAUCUGCCUAUUAGUGGGGGACAACAUCUCGAAAGGGAUGCUAAUACCGCAUACGUCCUACGGGAGAAAGCAGGGGAUCUUCGGACCUUGCGCUAAUAGAUGAGCCUAAGUCGGAUUAGCUAGUUGGUGGGGUAAAGGCCUACCAAGGCGACGAUCUGUAGCGGGUCUGAGAGGAUGAUCCGCCACACUGGGACUGAGACACGGCCCAGACUCCUACGGGAGGCAGCAGUGGGGAAUAUUGGACAAUGGGGGGAACCCAGAUCCAGCCAUGCCGCGUGUGUGAAGAAGGCCUUAUGGUUGCAAAGCACUUUAAGCGAGGAGGAGGCUACUUUAGUUAAUACCUAGAGAUAGUGGACGUUACUCGCAGAAUAAGCACCGGCUAACUCUGUGCCAGCCGCCGCGGUAA